CGUCAUACAAUGGCUGGUACAAAGGGUUGCCAACCCGGCGACGGGGGAAGCCCAAUACCCAUAAAGCCAGUCGUAGUCCGGAUCGUAGUCUGCAACUCGACUACGUGAAGUCGGAAUCGCUAGUAAUCGUGGAUCAGAAUGUCACGGUGGAAUAACGUUCCCGGGUCCGUU
rnacentral:rRNA from 1 species